AUGAACCGCUUUCGGGCGGGGAUUAGUGGCGAACGGGUGAGUAACACGUGGGCAAUCUGCCCUGCACUCUGGGACAAGCCCUGGAAACGGGGUCUAAUACCGGAUAUGACCGUCUGCCGCAUGGUGGAUGGUGUAAAGCUCCGGCGGUGCAGGAUGAGCCCGCGGCCUAUCAGCUUGUUGGUGAGGUAGUGGCUCACCAAGGCGACGACGGGUAGCCGGCCUGAGAGGGCGACCGGCCACACUGGGACUGAGACACGGCCCAGACUCCUACGGGAGGCAGCAGUGGGGAAUAUUGCACAAUGGGCGAAAGCCUGAUGCAGCGACGCCGCGUGAGGGAUGACGGCCUUCGGGUUGUAAACCUCUUUCAGCAGGGAAGAAGCGAAAGUGACGGUACCUGCAGAAGAAGCGCCGGCUAACUACGUGCCAGCAGCCGCGGUAAUACGUAGGGCGCAAGCGUUGUCCGGAAUUAUUGGGCGUAAAGAGCUCGUAGGCGGCUUGUCACGUCGGUUGUGAAAGCCCGGGGCUUAACCCCGGGUCUGCAGUCGAUACGGGCAGGCUAGAGUUCGGUAGGGGAGAUCGGAAUUCCUGGUGUAGCGGUGAAAUGCGCAGAUAUCAGGAGGAACACCGGUGGCGAAGGCGGAUCUCUGGGCCGAUACUGACGCUGAGGAGCGAAAGCGUGGGGAGCGAACAGGAUUAGAUACCCUGGUAGUCCACGCCGUA
rnacentral:rRNA from 1 species